AGCUGGAGGAAAAUAUUAAAAUGAUUUAUUAAAGCUGCAGUGAGAAACGUUUGCUUUGUGUUUGUUCUGGUGCCCCCUGUUGACAGUGAUGUUCUUUAUACAAAAACAUCAUCAUCCUGUUGUAUUGUAACAUUGAUAUAUAUCUUUUCCUGGGAGUAUUCAACACUGAAAAAAAUAAAAUGAUGUUUAUUCAGUCUGCUGUCAUUACCUGGUCUGAGAAAAACUUUUGAAGGUCUUAAUGAGGCAUCAGUAGUAGUUUCAGUCUGUUUCUCAACCAGUCAAAAAAAAAAAAACAUAGUGUCGUUAAAUCUUAUUCAAAUUGCAAAAAAAGGCAUGGUUAACAAAAAAAGUCACACUGAACCAUAUAUAAGCAAUUCUCCUUUUUCCUUGACAAAGUGGAAUCAUAUUAUAAGCAAAGAUGUGAACAUAAUGGUUCUGGAUACCCUUCUGAAUUGAUUAAAUUUUAACAAAGUGCCACGUGGUUGCUCUCCCUGUGUAAAAAAAAAAAAUAGUAAACAAAGUGGCCUCUUGAUGCCCAGCCAGUGGAAAGAGAGUUACCAAGUAUUCUCUGGAUGCCCAUCAAGUGGAUAACAGGUACACAAAGUACUCUCUGGAUGCACAACAGUUGAUAAAAUGUAAAUAGAGUGUCUUCUGGAUGACCUUCCUGGUGGUUUAAUGUAAACAAAGUGCUCUCUGGAGGCUGUUGCAGAGGUCAAAUGUGCACACACUGCACCUUAAAUACUCUUCAUUAGAUUAAAUGUAAAUAAGGUACCCUCUGGAUGCACACCAGUUGAUAAAAUGUAAAUAGAGUGUCUUCUGGAUGACCUUCCUAGUGGUUAAAUGUAAAUUAAGCACUUUCUGGAGGCUUUUGCAGCACAUAAAAUGUGCACACUCUGCAACUUGAAUACAAUUUAUUAGGUUAAAUGUAAACAAAGCUCUCUCUGGAUGCCCUUGUUUUCAGUGAAGCUUAAACCGGGUCCAUCCAAUGACCUCUUGAUUACAGAUUUAAGAGAGACAGAAAACUGCAAAGAUUUUAUAUGGUCUUUACUCCAAGUUGUUCUAUGUUUCUGCAUACAUGACAUACAGCAGACACCCUUUGUUUUCACCUUUGCCCCUUCAAUCAGCAUGAGUACAUCACACCUAUAUGUUCAUAACCAGAGAGAGCACCACAAGUACUUCAUCUACAUAUGAGACGGAUCUAAUUUGAAUCAAAAUCAACAGCCAACAAGUGGUUUUCUAUCAAACUAACAUGAGCACAGUCCUUCUGCUAGCUACAGUGCUAUAUAACCACGUCUUUAUCCUUUAAUGCCGGCCGCACAUUAGAGAAUAAUUGGGCAGAUUGUGGGUCGGAUUCACCACUUCUGAUAAUCCCGGGGGUGUUUUCCCGAUUCUAGGUUGGUCGCAACAGAUUGCCUGGCCAAAUGACCCUGUGGUGUGAGGAGUUUAGAGGAGUUUCAGAGAAUCAGAGCAAGCUAACAGCGUCACCACCGUCUGGACGUUACAAAACUCUUUAGAAUCAAUGUCGGCUCACACUGCAAAGUUAUAAAGCAUGCUGGAUCUGUUUUUAAGGUGUGACGACUCCCUUAGUUUGAAGGUGGCUCACACAGGUGCGUCCUUCUAUAACAGAUUGUGUAGCUUCCUAAUUUAGAGUGUGAUUAUUUCCAUUACAUACCUAUCCACACCACGAUGCACAGUUGAAAACACCCACAUAAGCAUGCUAGUCCGGUAUCUGCCCAGUGUUAAUUAAAGAACCUACAGUUCACAACGCAGUAAAACCAAACCAACAGAGUUAAAAAGGUCUAAAGGUCCCUGGUGAGGCAAGAAUACAUCAUGGAGUGGCUGAUUUUUUGCCUGUAGCCUCCUCUCCUCUUACAGUCGGCUCGUACAGUAGAGGCAGAACACCGCAGAAAGUACAGAUGUGAAUAUUUUAUAACUUAAUAUGAUACAAGAAGGAACAGGACACCGGGCCGAGAGGAGCUCCUUCCACCGAGCUGCAGACUCAACAGAGACCGGCUCAAACAGGCACUCCUCAUGUGAAGGGUCCUCUCUACGUAUAAUGAGAGCUCGACACUCAGAGCUGGAGACGUGGGUUUAUAAGUCCUUAUAAAGUCCAGAGUGUCUUUAAGGGUCUCGUCUGAGUCUGAUAAGAGCUGGGCUGGCUUAAAACCUGAACACCAAUUCCACAUACGAGUGUUUUCUGUCAUGCACUAACUCUGGUAGAAUUGGUGUUCAGCUUUUAUUCCAACAGUCCAUUUUUGAAACAAAAACAAACAGCCGGGUUCAAAAAAUGGUUUCCAUCUAGAAAGCUCAGUUCCGUCACAACAUCAACUACACAGGAAAUCUCUAUUUUUAAUACAACAGGCUUGUUUAAAGAUUUUAAGGUUUCAAGAUUGAUGAAUUGGAGGCCUGCCUCACUGUAGCUGUUUGGAAAGAGGCUAAAGGCUGGUUGGUUGGCCAGGAGUUAUGCUGCGUUCCAGUUGUACUCAGAAGUUGGAAUUUCCAAGCUCUUACCAACCCUGACUUGACGACAACGUCAUCAUCUAAGAUGGCAGUGCAGUGUAUCAACAGUGAAGAGUAACAGUGAAAGCUCUCGUAAUGUAUCAUUUAAUAGCAUUUUUGUUUUGUUUUUGUGAAAUUAAAUAAGUGGUAUAUGUUGUACUGCCCAACGUCUAACUGUGAACACGGUGCUAUGGUGUUUAUAAGAGUAAAAAACUGUGUUGUUUACAACUAGUAUCGCUAACAACAACUGCAAACCAUUAACGACAGCUGGCAAUUGUAAACAACAGCUAACAACGGCUAACUGUACAUGUCCAUCUUGGUUUCCGACUUAUUAACUGGAACGCCGUCAACUUGGGUGUAAUGUCAUUCCCAGCUCCUACUUCCGAAGUAACUGGAAUGCAGCAUUAGGUUGAGUCAGCUUAUCCAAUAUGGCAACCACCACCGAGUUGCUUCAAAUCUAUUACAUGCUUAUUUAGUUAUCCUCCCGAGUUCCUGCUCUGAGAACAUUUGAUGUUGAGGAUGAAUUUGAGCUGUGUUGGUUUUGCGAAGAACAACGAUAACUCCAGAGCAAAAAAAUAAAUGUUGUUAGUGUACACAGGCCCUAAGAGGACAAAUCACAGAACAGACAAACAAUCUUUUGCAGAUAAUACGCACAGAAAAACACAAAACCAAUGAAAAAGGAUUCAAAAACACUAGAACC
rnacentral:lncRNA from 1 species